rnacentral:rRNA from 1 species
GACAUUGACCUUCAGCUUAGGCUGGCCCCACAACAGGUGCUGCAUGGCUGUCGUCAGCUCGUGUCGUGAGAUGUUGGGUUAAGUCCCGGAAAGGAGGGGCAACCCUUNGGCCCUUAGUUGCCAGCAUUUAGUUGGGCACUCUAAGGGGACUGCCGGUGAUAAGCCGAGAGGAAGGUGGGGAUGACGUCAAGUCCUCAUGGCCCUUACGGGCUGGGCUACACACGUGCUACAAUGGUGGUGACAGUGGGCAGCGAGACAGCGAUGUCGAGCUAAUCUCCAAAAGCCAUCUCAGUUCGGAUUGCACUCUGCAAUCGAGUGCAUGAAGUUGGAAUCGCUAGUAAUCGCAAGAUCAGAUGCUGCCGGUGAAUACGUUCCCGGGGUCUUGU